rnacentral:rRNA from 1 species
ACGAACGCUGGCGGCGUGCUUCACACAUGCAAGUCGAACGGAAAGGCCCUGCUUUUGUGGGGUGCUCGAGUGGCGAACGGGUGAGUAACACGUGAGUAACCUGCCCUUGACUUUGGGAUAACUUCAGGAAACUGGGGCUAAUACCGGAUAGGAGCUCCUGCUGCAUGGUGGGGGUUGGAAAGUUUCGGCGGUUGGGGAUGGACUCGCGGCUUAUCAGCUUGUUGGUGGGGUAGUGACUUACCAAGGCUUUGACGGGUAGCCGGCCUGAGAGGGUGACCGGCCACAUUGGGACUGAGAUACGGCCCAGACUCCUACGGGAGGCAGCAGUGGGGAAUAUUGCACAAUGGGCGGAAGCCUGAUGCAGCAACGCCGCGUGCGGGAUGACGGCCUUCGGGUUGUAAACCGCUUUCGCCUGUGACGAAGCGUGAGUGACGGUAAUGGGUAAAGAAGCACCGGCUAACUACGUG